UAAUACGGAGGUGGCAGGCGUUACUCGGAUUGAUUGGGUGUAAAGGGUGUGUAGGUGGUGAAUUAAGUCGAAUGUGAAAUCCCUUGGCUUAACCAAGGAACUGCAUUCGAAACUGAUUUGCUUGAGCAAUGGAGAGGAAAGCGGAAUUCCCCGGUGUAACAGUGAAAUGUGUAGAUAUCGGGAGGAACACCAGUGGCGAAGGCGGCUUUCUGGACAUUUGCUGACACUGAAACACGAGAGCAUGGGGAGCAAACAGGAUUAGAUACCCUGGUAGUCCAUGCCGUAAACGAUGUACACUAGGUGUCGGGCCCUCUGGGUUCGGUGCCGCAGUUAACACACUAAGUGUACCACCUGGGGAGUACGGUCGCAAGACUGAAACUCAAAGAAAUUGACGGGGACCCGCACAAGCGGUGGAGCAUGUGGUUUAAUACGACGCUACGCGUGGAACCUUACCAGGACUUGACAUGUAUUUGAAAUCCUAUCGAAAGUUAGGACCUGUCCUAAAGACACAGAUACACA
rnacentral:rRNA from 1 species